UCCAAGUCAAGUAAAAAAAAAAGGGGUUAAGUCAGAGUCUGGGGUUUGAGGUUGUGCACGGGAUGCUGGGAGUUGAGUGUAAAGGGUGGUGUAGCCGUGUACAGGUUGUGAUGUUUACCCUACCGCCGUGGCAGAAGAGGGGCAAGGUUGACAAUUCUUGGCUCUGGGAUCUUCAAUCCAGGAUCUAGAGGAUCUGAAGAGCACACGGCU